rnacentral:rRNA from 1 species
UAGGGAAUCUUCCGCAAUGGACGCAAGUCUGACGGAGCAACGCCGCGUGAGUGAAGAAGGAUUUCGGUUCGUAAAACUCUGUUGUUAGAGAAGAACAGCGCAUAGAGUAACUGUUAUGCGUGUGACGGUAUCUAACCGGAAAGCCACGGCUAACUACGUGCCAGCAGCCGCGGUAAUACGUAGGUGGCAAGCGUUGUCCGGAUUUAUUGGGCGUAAAGCGAGCGCAGGCGGUCAAUUAAGUCUGAUGUGAAAGCCCCCGGCUCAACCGGGGAGGGUCAUUGGAAACUGGUUGACUUGAGUGCAGAAGAGGAGAGUGGAAUUCCAUGUGUAGCGGUGAAAUGCGUAGAUAUAUGGAGGAACACCAGUGGCGAAGGCGACUCUCUGGUCUGUAACUGACGCUGAGGCUCGAAAGCGUGGGUAGCAAACAGG